rnacentral:lncRNA from 1 species
AGAAUUUCUCCCACUCUUCGAGCCUACAGCAGACAUGUUAGGAGAAUGCUGCUGCUUGCAACACACCCAGAGACGGUGGGGCAGGUGACACUGCGUGUGUGCCCGGUGUCUCUGGAAGUGUCUAUACAGAUGUGUGCUGCUGCUGCUGCUGCUUUCUGCCUUAAAAUUUCUGGAGCCAACACCCACCCACUCUUACAGCCUCUGUCUCUUUAUUUUCAAGGAAAAAAGAAAGAGGCAGACUGAAAUAGAAGGCAAGCGACAACAGCUUGACGAGCAGAUACUUCUGCUGCAGCAUUCCAAGUCCAAAGUGCUUCGGGAGAAAUGGCUGCUGCAGGGCAUACCCGCUGGAACUGCCGAAGAGGAGGAAGCCAGGAGGCGGCAGUCUGAAGAGGAUGAGUUCAGAGUCAAGCAACUUGAAGAUAACAUUCAGAGGCUGGAGCAAGAAAUACAAACGCUAGAAAGUGAAGAGUCCCAGAUAUCUGCCAAAGAGCAAAUCAUCCUAGAGAAACUGAAGGAAACAGAAAAAUCCUUCAAGGACUUUCAGAAG